ACUUCCACUGAGAGAGAAGAAAAGUUAAGAAGAGGCUGGGAAGGUAGAGGGGUCAGGGAUUGGAAGUGUUGAAGAGGUGGAUAUCAAUGCAGAAAGAUGGGUGAUCUGGAUUAGAAUAUAGGACAUUUGAAUGAGGAUAUUGAUGAAGUGGUUUUGUGGAAGGUCUAGAAUGUAGGCCUCAAGAAGCUUCUGCCUCUCCCUUCUUAGAACACUGCCUUGGGACUGCCAUAGCAUGAAAAAGCCCAAGAGGAAAGACCAUGGAAAGAGAGGCCAAGCCAUCCCAGCUCUCUCUCCUCACUCUCUACCCAUUGCCAGGCAAAUGCAGCCGCAAGAGUGAGCCCAGUGGAUACCAGCAGGACUGCCCAAUCAGCCCAUAGACUGAUAAAAAAUAAUACAUAUUUGUAAAAUAUGAUGUAUUUUUUUAAAAAUAAAUAAACCUGGAAUAUUUGAGGCCCAGUUGGUAAUCCAGAGCAAGCAAGAAAUGAGGUCGGAGAGGACAAAGGGUGUGGAAGGUGAUGAUCAUGCUUAAAGUUUAUCGUAAGGACUUGGACUUGGACUCUGUGAUGCAAAGCUGCUAACGGAUCCAUGCAGAGGAGUGACAUGAUCUGACUCGAGUCCUAAAAGGAUCACUUUAUGAAUAGCUUUGAUACAACAUUAUACAUAGAUAUGACAGGACAUUGUUCUAUUAGUUCAUUAAGACUAAUUGGCAUGUGACUACAAAAAGAAUGGAUUUGGCAGUUACAUUAAUUGACAAAUUGGAUAUUCUGAGUCUCAAUGUAUAAAUUUUGGCUUCACUUUUUGUGGAUUAGACUUACACUUUCAAUAACUUAAUUUUGCUGCUCCACACCCCUAAAUUAUUUUUCGUAGUUACUACCUGAGUUCAUGGUUCCCCAAAUUCUCCAAAAUAGAAUCUAGAUCAAGUAAGAAGCUAUAAAAAUGCAAAUUUCUGUGUAAAAGCAAAUCUUUUCUAGAUUUCAGAGAUGUAUUCUAUAAACAUAACCAAAUGAUAUUGUUUUUUACAAAUCAGACAUUUUUCGGUGACUUUUUCUCUCAUAAAAUCUUUAUUGCUAACUUCUG
rnacentral:lncRNA from 1 species